UACGAAGGGGGCUAGCGUUGUUCGGAAUCACUGGGCGUAAAGGGCGCGUAGGCGGCUGUUCAAGUCGGGGGUGAAAGCCUGUGGCUCAACCACAGAAUUGCCUUCGAUACUGGACGGCUUGAGACCGGAAGAGGUCAGUGGAACUGCGAGUGUAGAGGUGAAAUUCGUAGAUAUUCGCAAGAACACCAGUGGCGAAGGCGGCUGACUGGUCCGGUUCUGACGCUGAGGCGCGAAAGCGUGGGGAGAAAACAGG
rnacentral:rRNA from 1 species